GGGGAAUCUUCCGCAAUGGGGGCAACCCUGACGAAGCGACGCCGCGUGCAGGAUGAAGGUCUUCGGAUUGUAAACUGCUGUCAGCUGGGACGAAAAAGUUUUCGACGAAUACUCGAAAACUCUGACGGUACCAGCAGAGGAAGCCGCGGCUAACUCUGUGCCAGCAGCCGCGGUAAUACAGAGGUGGCAAGCGUUGUUCGGAUUUAUUGGGCGUAAAGGGUCCGUAGGCGGUCCGGAAAGUCGGAUGUGAAAUCCCACAGCUUAACUGUGGAACUGCAUUCGAAACUUCCAGACUAGAGUAUGAGAGGGGUAAAGGGAAUUCCCGGUGUAAGGGUGAAAUCUGCAGAGAUCGGGAGGAACACCAGUCGCGUAGGCGCUUUACUGGCUCANCNCUGACGCUCAGGGGCGAAAGCUAGGGUAGCAAAAGGGAUUAGAUACCCCAGUAGUC
rnacentral:rRNA from 1 species